rnacentral:rRNA from 1 species
AUGACCCCCUCCUUGCCGUCGUUGUUGCUCGUCCUCCUGCUGGUCUUGUGGACGGCGCCGUACCUAGCAGCGCGCGCCGGCACCGACGCCAGCGACCACGGCCUCACGCACAUCCACCUGUACAUGCACGAGACCUUCGCCGGCCCAAACGCCACGACGCUCACGGCGGUGCCGUCGCCGCUGGGCGCCGACGCGACGUUCGGGGCAGUCGGCGUGCUCGACGACGAGCUGCGCGACGGAGACGCGAGGAACUCAUCGCUCGUGGGCCGGUACCAGGGCAUCUUCGUCGGCGCGGGCCUCGUGAGCCCGCCGGGCGGGCAGUCGGCGAUCAACCUCCUCUUCACGGCCGGGGAGCGUCGCGGCAGCACACUGGCCAUGCUGGGGCCCGUGCUGAGCUUCACGGGCGCCAUCGAGCGCGCCGUGGUGGGCGGCACGGGCGCCUUCAGGAUGGCACGCGGGUACUGCGUCAUGACGCCCGUCGGGAGCCCCACGCCGGAGUCCCUCGUCUACGAGGUCGACCUGUUCCUGGACAUGUACCAUGCCUGA